CACACUCACAUAAAACACGCACACAAACCCCCCAAAUUUUCAACAAACAGUCAAACCCUAAUUUCUUUUCAACAAAAAAAAGAAGUAAAAAUGCAACCAUCAAAACCCACCCAAGAAUCAUCAUCAGACAUGCCAUCACUUGCAACAAUCAAAGUCAAAUCAUCAUCGCCCCGUUUCCGACCAUCUUCCUCACCGUCAUCAACCGAAACCCCAACGUCAAAUGCACAACGCCGAAUCGGCAUCGCCGUGGACCUUAGCGACGAAUCAGCCUUCGCCGUGAAAUGGGCUGUCCACCAAUACCUCCGUCCAGGUGACGCCGUUAUCUUGAUCCACGUCAGACCAACUUCCGUACUUUACGGUGCUGACUGGGGUUCAGUUGACCUCACAAUCAUCGAUACCGAAAACCCCGAAUCGAAAAACAAACUGGAAGACGAUUUUGAUAACUUUACAAACUCAAAGUCUGCAUCUUUAGCAUACCCUUUAAUUGAGGCAGGGAUUCCGUACAAGAUACAUAUAGUUAAGGAUCAUGAUAUGAAAGAAAGGUUGUGUUUGGAAGUUGAGAGGCUUGGAUUGAGUGCUGUCAUCAUGGGAAGUCGAGGUUUCGGUGCCAUGAAAAAGUCGAGUGAUGGACGUCUUGGAAGUGUCAGUGAUUAUUGUGUUAGGCAUUGUGUUUGUCCUGUUGUUGUUGUUAGGUACCCUGAUGAGAAAGAUGCUGUUGAACCCGUUGUUUCCGUUGCUAAAGGUGUCGAUGAGGAUGACGAGGAUGCUGAGUUUCAUGAUGCUUCCGAUGAACGGAAAUGAAGCAUAUUUGGAACGCGCUUUGUAUGAAUCUUCCGUUUCAAGGUAAGCGUUCAGGAUGACCAGAAUGCAUUGCCGUUUGCAGAGUCAAGUUGAAAUUAGCUAGUCAUUUUUGUGUGUGUUUGGAUUUGGACAUGAUAUAUGAGCAAUGUAUGUGUAGAACUGAUGUUAGUUUUCUGUUGAGUAAGUGUUGCGUCUGCCAGUUAUGUAAAACUGGAUUAUCUGUGACAUAAUACCCGAUUGUAAAAUAACUGUGUUUAUCUAUGUACCUGCACCUGUUCUUUAA